rnacentral:rRNA from 1 species
AUUUGCGAUCAUUUAGUUGGGCACUCUAAGGAGACUGUUGGUGACAAACCGAAUGAAGGUGGGGACGACGUCGAGUCAUCAUGGCCCUUACAAGUAUGGCUACACACGUGCUACAAUGGGACGUACAGAGGGUCGCAAACCCUGCAGGGGAAUCUAAUAUCAUAAAACGUAUUAUAAUCCGGAUUGCAAUAUGAACCUCCACUGCCUGAAGUCCGAAUCUCUGGUCAUCCCAAAUCAGAACGUGUGGGUGAAUACUUUCCCGGGCCUUGAACACACGGCCUGUCACACCAUGUGAGUGGGUUGCAAAAGAAGUGGGUAGUCUAACUUCCGAGGACGCUGACCACUUUGUGAUUCAU